UACGGAGGGGGCUAGCGUUGUUCGGAAUUACUGGGCGUAACGCGCACGUAGGCGGCUUUGUAAGUUAGAGGUGAAAGCCCAGGGCUUAACCCUGGAAUUGCCUUUAAGACUGCAUCGCUAGAAUCGUGGAGAGGUGAGUGGAAUUCCGAGUGUAGAGGUGAAAUUCGUAGAUAUUCGGAAGAACACCAGUGGCGAAGGCGACUCACUGGACACGUAUUGACGCUGAGGUGCGAAAGCGUGGGAGCAAACAGG
rnacentral:rRNA from 1 species